UAUACUCCUCUCUUCACCCUUUUUUUUUUUCUUCCCGACCUUCUCAGCUCCGGUGGCAGUAAUAACGACGAACGACGAGAGCCAGGGCUCAGGUGCUCGGAAAAGCACCUUGGUGGCGGCGAUGCAGGUGAAGCAAGGGCUAAAGUGCCCAAGAUGUGACUGGCCCAACACUAAAUUCUGCAAAGACUUGUCGAGGACACUGGACAAAAGGCGGAGCCUUGCGUAACAUUUGGAUUGGCGGCGGUUGCCAGAAGAACAAAAAACUUAAAUCAUCCUCCUCCUCAAGACUUUCAAAUGACGGUGGCUUCUUCCCUUCCCUGGAUUUUCACCUUACUAGCUUCAUUCAUCAUUUUGGCAUCUUCGAAGAAGAGGGGUGGUACUAACAAGGAGAGGGUCCCCCUUCCCAAUUGCUUUCUUUUUCCCCCCUGUAUUUUUUUAAUGAGUCAAACGCUGUCGUUUUGAAGGAAUGGAGGAGAAAAAGAGAAUUGGUAAACGGAGACAUUCCAUGCGCAGCCCCAGACUCUAUCCUUACUUUUUACAUGUUAAAUUGUGUGAGUCGCUACUUCAAUCUCCAUGCACCGUGAGUCAAUAUAUACCAGAAAGUAGUUCCACCCAGCCAUGCUUUAAUAACCGGCUCCUGAGGUAAGAUGUCAUUGUCAUCAAGCUGUCUAAGGAAAACAGCUUUGUGAACAGUGCCGGCUACAAAAAUGGCUAGGGUUAGCCAUUUAAAAUUUUUGGGGCUUCGUGUUUAAUGCUUUGUUCUACAAUACAAUAUGAAUGAAGAAGAUACAUAGAUAACAGCACUACAACCCAUCUCUGUUAUUCUCUCACAUCUGCACAUCGGUGGAGCCGUCUUUCACUUUCGUGGAGUCGCAUGUUCUUAACAAAGAUCCAUUUGAAGUGGUGUUAAUGCUUCAACAUGGCUACCCAUUUUUGGGAUGCAAUCCAUUAGUUUCUUCGAUCUCGGGGGGGGGGGUUUAUGAAUGCAAGUUUAAAUAUAAUCAACGCAUGUUCAUUUUCUUCAAACAAAUGGAAGGAUCAAAGUCGUUCAUUCUUUGUGUAAGAUGGCUGUUAUUAAUGCUUGCGUUCAUAAAGGAAGAUGAACGUAUUUUAUUGUCUUUCAUUUGUUUUGUCUAUUCAUAUUAGGAAGUCAGAUCUUUUGGUUUAUUUACACCCAUACACAGCGGUUAGUUAAAUCCAUUAAAUGCACCAUUCGUUUUGUGUAAAUAGAAGAGACGCUCCAUAACUUUUUGGACAAUGCUUUUCUUUGUUUUGUGUGAGCUUUCUUUGUUCUUCUUCACCAAGCUUAUGCACGCAAGAAUGGAGAUGGAUUUCGGGGACUUUGCCAGUCUUGAUGCUUUAAGGCCUUCCUCUGGUGACUAUAGGAUCUUCGUGAAGGUGGACGGGGCUUACUUGAGGACAGACUUUGACGUGUACGACAGAGAUAUGGGGUGCCCAAAGAGGGUUCUAUCUGAGGAUUCCAAUGUAUUCGACCCUGCAGUGAAUUGUUUCGCCAUCUUUUUUCAGUCAUGUUAAUCAAAUAUCCUCACUUGCAUUUAAAAAUCUUCAUCUUUCCAAGGGACAUGCAUGAUCAAUCUCUGUUUUUGGAGAUGCCAACAUUAGGAGGUUUGUAAUAGGCUUGAAGAGACAAAGACCUACUAUAUUCAUUUUUUCAGUUAGGUCUGAAGGUCUUGGAGUGCAUCGAAAGAUUCACUUGGAGUUGGACGAGCGCACCGAGAUGGUGGAGCACUCUGUAAUUCAUUCCUUCCCAUUGCUUCAAGGUGAAGCCUAUUCGGGAACUCAGAUGUUUGUGGUUUCUUGAAAGAGAUGGUUAUAUACGAUUGGUAUGAAGAUGGAGCAGCGAUAAGCUCGAGUGCACUCUGUUUGGUGAUCCUGCAAUUGCUGCGUGGACCAGUUUUGAAGAGAAGAAAGAUAAGCCUGACCUCAUUGUGGUUGUUCAGUACGAUCUUGUCAAGAGAGACUCCGGUAAGACUGACCUCCCUCACGAAUUUUGCUAAUGCAACGAAGGUAUAUUUGGACAAAUUCCUAAAACUUCAUGAUGUUCGAAGGGUCUUGUAGGCGAAGGUUAGUAGAGGUUGCCAUAUCAUGUGAGGCAUAUAGAAGUCAUAUUCAGAUUCUGUAUAUACCAAUGGAUGUUGGCUUUAAAAUCCAUUACAGACCAUCUGUGCUUAUGGAUCGUGCAAUAGCUUAAUGUUUUUUUUUUUUUGUUAUAGCUGGACUUAUGUACAUAUUUGAUGUUCCUUUUUUCGAUAAUGUUGAAAUUUGGAUCGGACUUGCUUUUCUUGGUUGGCGAAGCUUG